UACGUAGGGGGCAAGCGUUGUCCGGAUUAUUGGGCGUAAAGAGCGUGUAGGCGGCUAGGUAGGUCCGUUGUGAAAACUCGAGGCUCAACCUCGAGCUGUCGAUGGAAACCAUCUGGCUAGAGUCCGGAAGAGGAGAGUGGAAUUCCUGGUGUAGCGGUGAAAUGCGCAGAUAUCAGGAGAACACCCGGUGGCGAAGGCGGCUCUG
rnacentral:rRNA from 1 species